GUAGUCCGAUUCGCAUCAAUCCAUAUAUGUUGGGGUGGGUUGGAGUGGAACUUGAACUAAAUUUCAUCCCAAUCCACUCCAACACGUGGAUUGAGAUAAAUCCGACA
rfam:Sorghum bicolor cultivar BTx623 chromosome 7, whole genome shotgun sequence.